UACGUAGGGUGCAAGCGUUAAUCGGAAUUACUGGGCGUAAAGCGUGCGCAGGCGGUUAUGUAAGACAGAUGUGAAAUCCCCGGGCUCAACCUGGGAACUGCAUUUGUGACUGCAUAGCUAGAGUACGGUAGAGGGGGAUGGAAUUCCGCGUGUAGCAGUGAAAUGCGUAGAUAUGCGGAGGAACACCGAUGGCGAAGGCAAUCCCCUGGACCUGUACUGACGCUCAUGCACGAAAGCGUGGGGAGCAAACAGGAUUAGAUACCCGGGUAGUCC
rnacentral:rRNA from 1 species